AUGAAGUGCCUGCUCGUCACCUCGGCAGUCGCCGCCCUUGCCCUUUUCCACAUUGCCGCUGUAGGCGCCGGCCUGAAACUCGGGUUCUACAGUAAGAGCUGCCCAUCGGCAGAGAACCUGGUUCAGCAGGCAGUCACUGCUGCCUUCAAGAACAACGCUGGUGUCGUCGCUGGCGCCAUUCGGUUGCGUUUCCAUGACUGUUUUUCAAACGGUCGUGACGGCUCAGUCCUGAUUGACUCGACGGCAAACAGAACUGCUGAGAAAGACGCUAUCCCCAACAAGCCCAACCUCUGUGGAUUCGAGGUAAUUGACGCUGCAAAGAAGGCCAUCAAGGCCCAAUGCCCCAAGACAGUCUCAUGCACGGACAUCCUUGCCUUCACUGCCCAUGACAGCAUCGCGCUACCAGGAAAUGUUACUUACAAGGUGCCUGCUGGGCGCGGCGCGCAGGUAUCCAAUGACCAGAACGCCCUCAAGAACCUACCCUCACCACUCUCAACAGCUUCUGAGCUGGUCGGCAACUUCCUCAAGGACCUCACAGCCGAGGACAUGGUCAUCCUCUCUGGUGCGCACACCAUAGGCUUCUCGCACUGCUCGUCCUUUACAAAGAUGUUAUAUGACUUCAGCAACACCAGUCAGACCUUAUGGUAUGCAUCUAGUCUACUCCCUCUGUACCGAAAUACUUGUAGUUGGGGAACACUAGCACAAGUUCUCCCAACAAGUAUUGUGGUACAGAGCUAUAACGAUUGUUUUACUGCCAGGUUGAUGUAUUAUGUGGGUCUGACAAAGAACCUAGGCCUGUUCACGUAAGACCAGGCAUUUCUCACAAACUCGAAUCUGGGAGCAUCAGUUGACGAGCCUGUCAAACUCGAAUCUGCAGGGUCUUGA
rnacentral:rRNA from 1 species